rnacentral:rRNA from 1 species
GACGAACGCUGGCGGCGUGCCUAAUACAUGCAAGUAGAACGCUGAAGAGAGGAGCUUGCUCUUCUUGGAUGAGUUGCGAACGGGUGAGUAACGCGUAUGUAACCUGCCUGGUAGCGGGGGAUAACUAUUGGAAACGAUAGCUAAUACCGCAUGAUAUUAAUUGUCGCAUGAUAAUUAAUUGAAAGAUGCAAUUGCAUCACUACCAGAUGGACCUGCGUUGUAUUAGCUAGUUGGUGAGGUAACGGCUCACCAAGGCGACGAUACAUAGCCGACCUGAGAGGGUGAUCGGCCACACUGGGACUGAGACACGGCCCAUACUCCUACGGGAGGCAGCAGUACGGAAUCUUCGGCAAUGGGGGGAACCCUGACCGAGCAACGCCGCGUGAGUGAAGAAGGUUUUCGGAUCGUAAAGCUCUGUUGUAACAGAAGAACGGGUGUGAGAGUGGAAAGUUCACACUGUGACGGUAUCUUACCAGAAAGGGACGGCUAACUACGUGCCAGCAGCCGCGGUAAUACGUAGGUCCCGAGCGUUGUCCGGAUUUAUUGGGCGUAAAGCGAGCGCAGGCGGUUAGAUAAGUCUGAAGUUAAGGCUGUGGCUUAACCAUAGUAUGCUUUGGAAACUGUUUAACUUGAGUGCAGAAGGGGAGAGUGGAAUUCCAUGUGUAGCGGUGAAAUGCGUAGAUAUAUGGAGGAACACCGGUGGCGAAAGCGGCUCUCUGGUCUGUAACUGACGCUGAGGCUCGAAAGCGUGGGGAGCAAACAGGAUUAGAUACCCUGGUGGUCCACGCCGUAAACGAUGAGUGCUAGGUGUUAGGCCCUUUCCGGGGCUUAGUGCCGCAGCUAACGCAUUAAGCACUCCGCCUGGGGAGUACGACCGCAAGGUUGAAACUCAAAGGAAUUGACGGGGGCCCGCACAAGCGGUGGAGCAUGUGGUUUAAUUCGAAGCAACGCGAAGAACCUUACCAGGUCUUGACAUCCCUCUGACCGCUCUAGAGAUAGAGUUUUCCUUCGGGACAGAGGUGACAGGUGGUGCAUGGUUGUCGUCAGCUCGUGUCGUGAGAUGUUGGGUUAAGUCCCGCAACGAGCGCAACCCCUAUUGUUAGUUGCCAUCAUUGAGUUGGGCACUCUAGCGAGACUGCCGGUAAUAAACCGGAGGAAGGUGGGGAUGACGUCAAAUCAUCAUGCCCCUUAUGACCUGGGCUACACACGUGCUACAAUGGCUGGUACAACGAGUCGCAAGCCGGUGACGGCAAGCUAAUCUCUGAAAGCCAGUCUCAGUUCGGAUUGUAGGCUGCAACUCGCCUACAUGAAGUCGGAAUCGCUAGUAAUCGCGGAUCAGCACGCCGCGGUGAAUACGUUCCCGGGCCU